AAAGAGAAAAAAAAGGAAACGUCGCUCUCCCCUUCCUCCCAUCGCCUCCAGGUCUCCAGUGCUCCAUCCGCCAUCGCCUCCAGUGCUCCCGCCGCCAUCGCCGGCGCACGGCACUGACCGGAAAACACGCUCUCAGCUAGGCGCCAGCACCGCCGCCGCUUCCAGGUUCGGAGCGCGCUUGACCGGCAGCAGGCCUCCAUUGCCCCGGCCAGGUCGCAGGUGUAGCUCCAAGAACAGGUGUUCUGUGGCGUGUAUUGAUGGCCAAUAGCGAGUUCGAGUAUGUGAAGAGGGAAUUCGAGUUCGACCAUCACCUCCCGGCCUCCAACUGGAUCAUUGUCUGCUUAGAUGGCUGUCAUUUCCACCGUUUUGUUUUCAGAGAGGGAACAGAAUUCUGUCAAAGACUUCUCUACCAAUAAUUGCAGCAAAAUUCUCUCUUUGUGUGUUUCUUACAUCACACCUGUGUAUGUGAUGAAGUUGAAAGAUUUCUUUCCAAAUAAAGAGUUGAGAGAGGCUCCAUAUUUUGAUGGGCGAGUUGUAUGCUAUCCAAAUAUGAAGACCAUUCGUGAUUAUUUGGCAUGGAGGCAACUGGACUGUCAUAGAAAUAAUCAUUAAAAUACAUGCUUCUAGACAUUAGUGAUAUCUGAAAAAACUGAAAAAGAGGCACAACAAGCAUUGAAGGUAGAAACAACGCUGAAAAUUGACGAUUAUGGGAAUCUUAUAAAAAGAACCCGGUUGGCAAUUACAGUGUCAAUUUUUGAUAUCAUAGGACAUGAGUUUCGAGAAAAACAUCAAAACAUUCUUCGAGAAGGUCACAACAGGAUCCAGUACAAGACAUGCUUUUGGAUGCUAGUGAAGUCCGGAAAGGGCGAAAACGAAGCUUACGAUAUGCUGAAGGUCAAAGGACAAGAACGAGUUGCUCUUUCAGCCGUUUGAAAUGAACUAUAACAACGAACCGGCCAUGUACUGAAAGGGCUCAUGUGCUUACCGUGAAAAAGGUGGCGGCUCAGGGCAUGGUAAUGCAGUGUCGGCGGAUGUGUUUAAUUCUCCCAGUCGCUGGGUUUUGCCCUUGGAUAUUCGGCCACAUCCAUCGCGUGUUGGUGCCCUGCAUGUUGACCGGGACAUACCUGCGUCCUCACGCCACAACCCCUGUCCGUACAUGCUACCCCAGCAGCCUCCUCAUCGUACGUACAGCCCAUCAAAUUGUUUGCAAAACGAUGCUGAAUUGGAACUAUAUGUAUGGCCUCUUUUUCUGCGGUUUGUUCUUGCAAUCAUGAGCCAGAGGUUGGAAACAUCCUAGGUUGGGUCACGUUUGCGCCGUCGACGCCACCUGCAACCUAUUUCAACCCCCUCUGUACAAGGUCACAACAGGAUCCAGUACAAGACAUGCUUUUGGAUGCUAGUGAAGUCCAGAAAGGGCGAAAACGAAGCUUACGAUAUGCUGAAGGUCAAAGGACAAGAACAAGUUGCUCUUUCAGCCGUUUGAAAUGAACUACAACAACGAACCGGCCAUGUACUGAAAGGGCUCAUGUGCUUACCGUGAAAAAGAUGCCUCUGAAAAUAUGGCAUGCUAUCGGUUCCUCGGCGACGCGCUGGUCUCGUGGUCCUCGAAGCGCCAGCCCACGGCGUCCCGCUCCAGCGUGGAGGCAGAGUACCGUAGCGUGGCCAACACCGGGCCGAGUGUGUCUGGCUUCGACAACUCCUCGGCAAGCUCUGCUGCGCGGUCACCACUGCAACGCUGCCAUGCUGGUCUACUGCGACAACAUCUCUGCCGUGUACCUAUCCAGUAAUCUCGUUCACCACCACGGCACCAAGCAUGUCGAGCUGGACAUCCACUUAGCGGAUGACUGCAGGUGGACGAUGCUGCGAGUGGGCGGUGGCGCACGUCGACAUGAGGCCAGAGUUUUGGAGAACGCAUCGUCGUGGUCGUGGCUUUGUUAGCAGGUCGCAGGAACAGGUGAUGACUAAGUAGGAGUAGUUCUCAUCAUUGUCUCAAAGAAAACGUGACGGUUUAUUACGGCUGGAUAAUACAGCAAGGUCCGGCGUUCGAUCUCUGGACCGUGUAUUAUAUUAGCGAACAUCAUUUAUUUA